rnacentral:piRNA from 1 species
UAAAAUGUCAAUGCCUUGGCUCAACUCAGCAC